rnacentral:rRNA from 1 species
CACUGCCCAGACACCUACGGGUGGCUGCAGUCGAGAAUCUUCCGCAAUGGACGAAAGUCUGACGGAGCGACGCCGCGUGAUGGACGAAGGCCCUCGGGUUGUAAACAUCUGUCGUAGGGGAGGAAAUUUUGACCGAUCCUAGGAGGAAGCACAGGCUAAGUUCGUGCCAGCAGCCGCGGUAAUACGAACUGUGCGAACGUUAUUCGGAAUCACUGGGCUUAAAGGGUGCGUAGGCGGGCAGGUAGGUCAGAUGUGAAAGCCCACGGCUCAACCGUGGAAUUGCGUUUGAAACCACUUGUCUUGAGGGGAUCAGAGGAGAGCGGAACUGAUGGUGGAGCGGUGAAAUGCGUUGAUAUUAUCAGGAACACCGGUGGCGAAGGCGGCUCUCUGGGAUCUUUCUGACGCUGAGGCACGAAAGCUAGGGGAGCGAACGGGAUUAGAUACCCCGGUAGUCCUAGCUGUAAACG